CCACAAAGCCUGUUGUCCACCCAGACAGGCUCCGUGGACAGCUGCCAGGCCUUCCCCUUCUGGAGAUCCCCAGGCUGUCCCAAAUGCCUUAACUAGAGAUGGAAAGAAAAAAUCUCAACUGGAAGCAGGGCAGCUGCUAUAGCUGGUUCUUGAGCUUUGGAGACUGGAUCUCAUUUUGGGAAGUUUGAGGCAACUGGGAGGACGUAGGAGGUCCGAACCCGGAGAAGGGAAGCCAAUAGACAUUGCUUUGUGCCUGUCUGCGCUCAACCCGAUCCCUAAGGCUACUCAGGAGGCUGAGGCAGGAGGAUCACUUGAACCAGGGAGUUGGAGUUUGCAGUGAACCAAGAUUAUUCCACUGCACUCCAGCCUGGUGACAGAGCUAGAAAAAAAAAGAAGAAAGAAAGAAAGAAAAGAAAAAGAGAUGAAACAUUUAAAUGAGAAGCCAACUCAACUCUUCCUCUUGAUCUUGGAGUCAUUCUCUCAAGUGUAAUUCCAAGUCCAAAGCAUCACAUCAACCUUAUCAGUCGACUGCGGUGUCAACUACAGCCACUGCACCAGACCAGCCUUCCUCUGUGGGACUCGGAACUAUCCUGUGGUCCUGCGGGGACCGCCUCACUGGGACAGUGCGGUACAUUAGGAUCCAUCCCUUAUGAUGGUUCAGGGUUUUCCAGUCUCUAAGGCCCCUUAUCAUUAUCUUACCUACUCUUCCUAGCAACCCUGUGAGGGAGGCUGAGAAAAACCAAGGUCCAAAGAGAUCAAUGACUUGUCUGAGGUGACCUAGUACAGAGGGUUGCAUGGCAGGAGGAGAAACUUGGUCUCCUAACUCCUAGGACAGGAGAAAUGAAUGAGUCCUGUACUCCAGCCACCGCUUCCACCAAUUAACCACUAAUAAAAAUGUAAAGAUCCGAAUGCCAGCAGGGGUCCCUGUUGCAAAUAUUAGGACCUUUCUUAUAUCACAGAUUACUGAAAACACUCCCCCUCUUUCUGUUGUAGUUGUUGUUGUUUGGUUUUUGGGUUUUUCUUUUCUGAGACAGAGUUUCCUUUUUGUCACCCAGGCUAAAGUGCAGUGACAGAAUGUCAGCUCACUGCAACUUCCACCUCCCGGGUUCAAGCAAUUCUCCUGCUUCAGCCUCCCAAGUAGCUGGGAUUACAGGCAUCUGCCACCAUGCCAGGCUAAUUUUUAUAUUUUUAGUAGAGAUGGGGUUUCACCAUGUUGGCCAGGCUGGUCUUGAACUCCUGACCUCAGAUGAUCCGCCCACCUCGGCCUCCCAAAGUACUGGCGUGAGCCACCGCACCUGGCAUUUUUUCUAUUUGAGUGUCUUGCUCUGUCACCCAGACUAGAGUGCAGUGGAAUGAUCACAGCUUCCUGCAGCCUCAACCUCUCAGGCUCAGGUUAUCCUCCCACCUCGCCUCCUAAGUAGCUGGGACCACAGGCACACCACCAUGCCAAGCUAAUGUCCAAUUUUUUAGUUUAUUUUUGCUCUUAUGAUGAUUAUUACUAUUUUUGAGACAGAGUCUCUCUCUGUCUCCCAGGCCGGAGUGCAGAGGCACAAUCUCAGUUCACUGCAACCUCCACCUUCCAGGUUCAAGCAAUUCUCAUGCCUCAGCCUCCCCUGUAGCUGGGACUAUAGGCGUGCACCACCAUGCCUGGCUUAUUUUUGUAUUUUUAGUAGAGACGGGGUUUCAUCAUGUUGGCCAGGCUGAUCUCCGCCUGCCUCAGCCUCCCGAAGUGCUGGGAUUACAGGUGUGAGCCACCAUGCCUACUCUUAAUUUUUUUUAAGUGCACGAGCUAAUUUUUUAAUUACUAUUUGUAGAGAGGAAGUCUCCCUAUGUUGCCCAGGCUGGUCUAGAACACCUGGGCUCAAGUAAUCCUCCUACCUCAGUGCUGAGAUUACAGACGUGAGCCACCAUGCUCAGUUCCACUUCUUUAAAGCAACCACUAACCUUAAGCCAAAGACCACCCGGGGGGACUGGCCACAUCCCCCGGAUCUUCUAUCCUUGCGGUCUGUCUUCCUUGAGCCACCAGCACCCGAGCAUCAGAUGAACUUCACUGCUCUGGCUCGGUGUUGCCUGUGUGUGCGCCUUGGCUCCCCACCCUCUCUGGGCCUCAGUGUCUCCCCUGUGCAGUGGGCCCAGCAGCGCCCACCCAAUGGGGUUCUUGUGAGGAUUUGCUGGAAGAAUGUAUGUGGAAGUGCCUUGUCCAGAACCUGGCCCAUAUGUAAGUAUAAUAAAAGUUUAUUGUUAUUUCUGGUAAUUGCAUAUUGUACUUGAACAAUCCCUGGGCAGAUAAUGAGAAAAAUGAGGUUUGAGUCACCGCCUCUGUCACUUGUAACCCUGUGUGAGUUGCUUAAUCCCUCUAAGUCUUAGUUCCUCCAUCUGUAAAAAUCUUAUUAUUUUUUUUUUUUUUUGAGAUGGAGUCUCACUCUGUCACCCAGGCAUGAUCUCAGCUCACUGCAACCUCCAAUUCCUGGGUUCAAGUGAUUCUCCUCCCUCAGCCUGCUGAGUAGCUGGGAUUACGGGCACCCACCACCAUGCCUGGCUAAUUUUUGUAUUUUUAGUAGAGACGAGGUUUUACCAUGUUGGACUAGGCUGGUCUCAAACUCCUGACCUCAGGUGAUCCACCCGCCUCAGCCUUCCAAAGUACUGGGAUUACAGGCUUGAACCACCAUGCCCAGCCGCAAAAAUCUUAUAAUACUUUCCUCACAGAGAGUAAUGAGGAUUAAAUGAUGAACGGCACAGAGUAUUUUGGGGCUGAGAAGGGCUCAUGAGGUUCGUGAGAAAUGUCAGGGAGGCUCCGGGAGGCCCACAGUCUACCUAGGAGUGUAGAUUAGACUGCAUGCAGCCAUGUGGCUCAGGAACUGAGUGGAAGAAGAGAGAGGAGGAGAGUGGGGAGAGACAGAGAGAGAGACAGGAUCAGCCAUUCCUUCAGUGCCUGCUCAGUGCCUGCCCUGGGCCAGACCCUGUUCUCAGUGCUGGGGGUGCAGCAGUGAACAAAAGAGACAAAGCCUCUGUCCCCGUGGUGCUUAUGCUCUAGUGAGUCUGGGGAACAGAGCAGGGGACUGUGGACAAAGUGUAAAUGUGCAAAUAGGAAUGACUACGGAGAGGAGGCAACCAGGAGGAGCAACAGAGAGAAAUGAGACUCCAGGCUAGAGAGAAUGACCUUGGGCUGUGGAAGAGGCAGGUGCUCAAAACAGCACGACACCCCUCACCCUAGGGCAGGGAGAAACCAAGAGAGUCCAAAGUGGGAAAAGAAUCAGGUGAAGAGGUUGAGGUGAUGAGGAAGGGAGUGUGGCUGCUGAUGGGGAAGGUGGGCUCUGGGGAAGGUGGGCUCUGGGGAAGGUGUUCUAGGAGGGACUUCUCAGUGCAGGGUGGAGCCUUAUGGCAGACGCUGGGGCCGGGCAUCUUCUCUGGAAAUCCCUUGAGUUCUGGUGUUUUUCCUACUCCCUUCUCCCCUCCCACAAGCUGCCCAACUCCCAGGGACCUGGCUGGGUGGAGAUUACAUACACCUGGACCACUGCAGGCGUGGCACGGGGAAAAGAGGAUCCAGAACCAAACCACCUCCCACCCACACCUGCUAAUUUCGUCUGCACUUUUGUAGCCUGACCCUUCACUGCCCUCACUCCAACUCCUGUGUGAGGAUGCUGAGCUCCUGGGAAAACCAAAGGGAGAGCAGGCGAGACCAUAAUGUGACCAAAGGAUGAGACUGUGUCAUCGCUUGGGAAUAAAAGCAUCAAAUGCCACCCCAGGUGGGACUGUUGGCUCCAA